rnacentral:rRNA from 1 species
AUCGAAAGCUUGCUUUUGAUGGGCGUCGACCGGCGCACGGGUGAGUAACGCGUAUCCAACCUGCCCACCACUUGGGGAUAACCUUGCGAAAGUAAGACUAAUACCCAAUGAUAUCUCUAGAAGACAUCUGAAAGAGAUUAAAGAUUUAUCGGUGAUGGAUGGGGAUGCGUCUGAUUAGCUUGUUGGCGGGGUAACGGCCCACCAAGGCGACGAUCAGUAGCCGACCUGAGAGGGCGGACGGCCACAUUGGGACUGAGACACGGCCCAGACUCC